UCCGGUUUGAUACCGGCGGUCCCGCUAGACAUGGUAACUAGCAGCGAGGGUUGCGCUCGUUGCGGGACUUAACCCAACACCUCACGGCACGAGCUGACGACAGCCAUGCGGCAUCUGUGGUGCACCCUCGAAGGUCACACGUUUCCGUGCGCUUGCAGCACCAUGUCAAGCCCAGGUAAGGUUCUUCGCGUUGCAUCGAAUUAAACCACAUACUCCACUGCUUGUGCGGGUCCCCGUCAAUUCCUUUGAGUUUCAGCCUUGCGGCCGUACUCCCCAGGCGGGGCACUUCAUGCGUUAGCGCCGGUACUCCAAGGGUCGCUCCCCGGAGCACCUAGUGCCCAUCGUUUACGGCGUGGACUAC
rnacentral:misc_RNA from 1 species